UUCGCCUUCAUGAAGCUGGAAUUGCUAGUAAUGGCAGGUCAGCAUACUGCCGUGAAUACGUUCCCGGGCCUUGUACACACCGCCCGUCACACCAUGAGAGUUGGGAAUACCCGAAGCCUGUGAGCUAACUUAUAGAGGCAGCAGUCGAAGGUAGAAUCAAUGAUUGGGGUGAAGUCGUAACAAGGUACC
rnacentral:rRNA from 1 species